rnacentral:rRNA from 1 species
GAUCUUUAUAUAUAAAUUAAUUUUAUAAGAAUUAGUUAUAUUUUAUUUUAAGUUAAUGAUAUAUUAUAUUGGGGUAAUAAUAAAAUUUAAUUAAUUUUUAUUUAUAUUUUACAUUUAUGGAUGAUUAAAUGAUCCAAUAGUAUUGAUUAGAAAGUUAAGUUACCUUAGGGAUAACAGCAUAAUGAUUUUUGAGAGUUCUUAUUGAUAAAAUAGUUUGU